rnacentral:tRNA from 1 species
AAUUAAAUAGUUUAACAAAACAUUAUUUUGCAAAAAUAAAAAUUAUUAAUAAUUUAAUAUUUAAUUU